ensembl:lncRNA
GUCUGUUGCCACCACCUCUCUCUGGUUUGUUCCUGCUACUUUAUUGCUCUUCUCUCUUCUCUCUUUCCUUUUUUUAUUUUUCAGAUCUGCUCCUGAAUUUCAGAUCUUCAUGUUCUGGUCCACUCUAAGCAGAAAGCCACAUAGUCUUUUGUGGCCUGCACUGAAAUUAUUCCUCUUUCUGGGUGUGACUUUGCUAAUCCAGUUUUGGCAAUUCGUGAUUUCUAUCUGUCAGCUUAAAUCAAAGGAUUACACGCGAAACUCCCCGGUGUAUUUUGCAGAAAGCUUCCUCCUUGUACCCAUUAAGUCGGAGAGAACUGGUUGUUCCAUCUGUCCGUUCUUUGUUCAGGACUUUUCUCUCUUCCUGCGUCAGCAUCAAGGGCGUCCACACAAGACAAAUGAUAAAACCCACCAUCAAUUUCCGGGAUAUUCUGGAAUGAUUUGGCAAUCUGGCAGGGACAAUUUGUGUGUUGUGUGUGUGGUG